AAAGAAAACGAUGAAGAGUGUAUUCCAUCAGUGUCCAGAUGAAAAUGCCAAAAACCACCAACAGUGCCACCUCUGGAACAGUACGACCCAUACGGAUAGAAACAGAGAUGCUAUAGCACACAACUGGAAGCCAUAUGGUAGGAAUUGCCCACCAAACUGUGCGAGUCAGAAACUCCCAAAAGUCACUAGCAAAAAAUCGAGGACCUUCCUUGCUGACAAUGGGCUGGUGAACCCACUCUUGAUAAGCUUCUCCAAGGUGGCCAACCUGGUGUACAAGUGGCUUAUCUAAAUCCACAGUGAAGCCUUGUGCAACCAUCGUGGACACCAGCUAAUUGAUAGAAAAAUGCAGAUUUUUUUUUGCUCAAUUGAAAGGAUCCCUAAGUGGUGCCCUCUCUAUGUGCA
rnacentral:misc_RNA from 1 species